CACACCGCCCGUCAAGUCACCUGAAUUGUCUGCACCCGAAGCCGAUGGCCGAACCAGCUUGCUGGACGGAGUCGUCGAAGGUGUGGGGAGUAAGGGGGACU
rnacentral:rRNA from 1 species